AAACUUACCAGGUCAAGACAUGGGCGUGAUUGACAGGCUAAUGACUUUUCUCGAUUCCAUGGAUGGUGGUGCAUGGUCGCACUUAGUUGGUGCAGUGAUUUGUCAGGUUUAUUCCGGUAACGAACGAGACCUCGGCCUUGUAAAUAGCUAUGCUGCUUACAGGGACAUUGGCGGCUACGCCAAGGAAGCUCGAGGCAAUUGCAGAUCUGGAAUGCCCUUAGAUGUCCUGGGUCGCACGCGUGCUACAAUGACGCCACGAACGAGCUUGCGUGAUGAAAGUUACGCAUAAUCAGCAGUCGGCGUCUUAAGGGAUAGUCUCUUGUAACUGUGGGACUCCAACUAGGAAUGUCUCGUAAGCACAAGUCAACAUCUUGUGUUGAUUACGUCCCUGCUCUUUGUACACACCGCCCGUCGCUCCUACCGAUCGAGUGUUUAGGUGAAUUUGAUGGACGUAAGGAAGUCAAAUAAACCUGAGCACUAGAGAAGAGAAGUCGAUCAUU
rnacentral:rRNA from 1 species